CCUACGGGUGGCAGCAGUGAGGAAUAUUGGUCAAUGGACGGAAGUCUGAACCAGCCAUGCCGCGUGCAGGAAGACGGCUCUAUGAGUUGUAAACUGCUUUUGUACAAGGGUAAACCUGAAUACGUGUAUUCAGCUGAAAGUACUGUACGAAUAAGGCUCGGCUCACUCCGUGCCAUCAGCCGCGGUAAUACGGAGGUUCCAAUCGUUAUCCGGAUUUAUUUGGUUUAAAGGGUGCGUAGGCGGAUUGAUAAGUUAGAGGUGAAAUGUCCGGGCUUAACUCGGGAACUGCGUCUGAUACUGGUGAUCUAGAGAGUAGUUGCGGUAGGUGGAAUGUAUGGUGUAGCGGUGAAAUGCUUAGAGAUCAUACAGAACACCGAUUGCGAAGGCAGCUUACCAAUCUAUAUCUGACGUUGAGGCACGAAAGCGUGGGGAGCAAACAGGAGUAGAUACCCCAGUAGUC
rnacentral:rRNA from 1 species